rnacentral:rRNA from 1 species
UCGAGAAUCUUUCACAAUGGGCGAAAGCCUGAUGGAGCGACGCCGCGUGGAGGAUGAAGGCCUUCGGGUUGUAAACUCCUGUCAUGAGGGAACAAGAAAGUGAUAGUACCUCAAGAGGAAGAGACGGCUAACUCUGUGCCAGCAGCCGCGGUAAUACAGAGGUCUCAAGCGUUGUUCGGAUUUACUGGGCGUAAAGGGUGCGUAGGCGGUGGCGUAAGUCGAGUGUGAAAUCUUCCGGCCUAACCGGAAAACUGCACUCGAUACUGCGUCACUAGAGGACUGUAGAGGAGACUGGAAUUCACGGUGUAGCAGUGAAAUGCGUAGAUAUCGUGAGGAAGACCGGUGGCGAAAAGCGAGUCUCUGGGCAGUUCCUGACGCUGAGGCACGAAGGCUAGGGGAGCAAACGGGAUUAGAUACCCUUGUAGUCCCUGAGCGGGCUGGCAAGGCGCAU